UACGGAGGGUGCAAGCGUUAUCCGGAUUCACUGGGUUUAAAGGGUGCGUAGGUGGCGGGGUAAGUCUGGUGUGAAAUCCUGGGGCUCAACCCCGGAACUGCACUGGAUACUGCUUUGCUAGAGUACUGGAGAGGGAACUGGAAUUUACGGUGUAGCAGUGAAAUGCGUAGAUAUCGUAAGGAAGACCAGUGGCGAAGGCGAGUUCCUGGACAGUUACUGACACUGAGGCACGAAGGCCAGGGGAGCAAACGGG
rnacentral:rRNA from 1 species